UGGAUUAAAAUAAUCGGUUAUUUAUGAUGUAGGAAAGUGAAGAUCAGAUAUUGUUAUUAACAUGUUUGGUUUAUGAUUGGAAUAAAAACGGAAAAAAAUAUUGGAUUGCAUUUGAGUCGAAAAAUGAAAUGACGAAUCAUCUAAAAAUAUUUGGUUUAUUAUUGAAACGGAAAUCAGAAUGGGCAUUAAAAUACCUAGGAUUUCAGAGGGCUUUGAUUAAGAGAGAGAAAAGUGAUAAAGGGAGAGGAAUGGGAGGUGUUUGCGAGAGAGGGUGGCAAGAUUGGGUCAAUGAAAUAUAGU
rnacentral:lncRNA from 1 species